GGUUGCUCACUCAAAAGUGUAAGUAUCUCUUGAUAACUGACUCCAUUGUUAGCUGAAAAGACCGCCAACAUGGCUCUUCUUCUGAAUUCGAGUGCUCUUCGUCGUCUUCUGAAGACUCUUGAUUGGGGUCUCCGGAAGGAAGAAAAAUAUUAUACGAGAUGAAGAUGCGCAGAGAUAAACGAAAGUGAACAAGUUGAGAAGCUCAUAGUCUCUAAAC
ensembl:ncRNA F55B12.13 ncRNA